UUUUUUUUUUUUUUUUCUUUUAGUUAAAUUGUAUAACUUCUAUUUAGUUUCAAAGUUCUAUUUUUUAUUUUAAUGCAUAUGUAAAUUUUAGCACUACAGAUUAAAAACAGAUUGCAACUCCUCCAAUUUCGAUAGAAAUAGUAGUUUGAUAUGGUAGAUAUAUAUUAUUUGUAGUAGGCAUAAUUAUUUGUUAUUUGAUUCAUUCUACUAUUUGUUUCUCUUCGAAUGUAAAAAAAAUUUUUUUUGUUUGGUUGAGAUUGGUUCAUAUUUGUAUUUUAUAAUUUGAGCAUGUAUUUGUCUUAUUUGCAGUUUUCUCUGAGAAGAUGGUUGAAAGUGCUCAAAGUAGAUAAUCAUUAUAAUUAUAACUCUAAAUCAUAUUAAAGAUUUUAUGAACUUUGUUAAUUAAUAUUUUAUCUUUUAGUUGAUGCAACUCCAAUUUUUUUCAGAUUGUAUUAACAUCGUUAAUCGGCAUGCUUUUUGUGCGUCUAAGUUUCGAUACUGUGACCCAUAAGGCUUGCAAGUUCUUUUUCAGUACGGUUUGCAAAUUUCUUUUGGUAAAUUGUCUUAGUAAUACAAAUAGAAUGUUCUCGUAAAUUUUUAAACAAAAGAAAAUCUAAAUAAGUAAAUUAAUUUUUUCACAUAUAUUUGCAAAUCCAUUUAUCUUUAAUUAAUAGAUAUAAAGAUAAUCAUUAGUGAUUACUUAUGAAAUUUUUCUCUUAUCUAAAUUUAAUUUUUUAAAAUUCUUUUUAUAUAUCUUUAGUUUCCAAGAAUUAUUUAAUAGUUUUCUAUAUAUUUUUUCAUCUAAAAAACUAUAUGUUACACCAAUCUAUCCAAAAUUUAGCAUUUUAUUAUCUAAUUUACUUUUGCAAGCAAUUAUUUUUUUACUUUAAUUCUAAAGGUUUAUGAGGAAAAAAUAUGUAAUAUAUUUUAGGGAAAAUUAUUAUUUAGUCCCUCCGUUUUUACAUAAUUAUCCAACUAAUCUCAAGUUUUACGUAAAUAUCUAAUUAGUCCCUCAGGUUUAACUCCGUCUAAUUAAAAGGUCCUUCCGUCCAAAAAGUUGAUUUUUUUUCCGUUAAUUAUAGACUAAAAGACUAAAACACCCCUCCCUAGCUGACGUGGACCAUAAGAAAAAAUUAUUAUCUAGUCCCUCAGGUUUUACAUAAUUAUCUAACUAAUCCCAAGUUUUACGCAAAUAUCUAAUUAGUCCCUCAGGUUUAACUCCGUCUAAUUGAAAGGUCGUUCCGUCCGAAAAGUUAGUUUUUUUCCGUUAAUUGAAGACUAAAAGACUAAAACACCCCUCCCUAGCUGACGUGGACCAGUAUGAAGCGAUAAGGGAGAGAAUUGUAUAAACUAAAAGACUAAAUAAUAAUUUUCCCUAUAAUUUUAUGCACAUGUAGAAUUGUAUAGACUAAGCUUAAUUACACGAGUAGGAAAAUUAGCCUUCGCUAAAUUUAAAAAUGAAAAUUGAAGAGUUUCAUAUAAAGUCGAUGGAGACAUAAUCAUUUUUCUCUCUUAAAUGUACGGUUUAGUUUUAGAUUAUGAAUAUUUGCAAAUCGAAAACCAUUAAAUAUAAUUAUGUCUCUAAAAUAUUACUGUCUUCAUUCUAUAAUAUUUGUCACAUUUAGAAUUUCAUAUCUUUUAAAAAAAUUAUUAAAUUUGUAUAAAUUAUAAUAAAUUAUUGAAUAAAUUUUGACAAUAUUACCCUUAAUUUAAUAUUAAUCUCUAAGAAAAUCAUUAAAUUGAAGUAAUAAUUAUUAAUCAUACACAAAGGGUAAAUAUGAAAAAAAUAUUUAUUACUCCUUAAAACCGCAAAUAUAACAAGUACAAUUAAAUAUUAUUAAAUUUAAUUGAAUCAUGAAAGUAAAUACCUCUUCAAAAAAGUAAAUAUCUCAUUUUUCUUUUUACCCCAAAUUAUCAUCAUAGUUUCUUUUUUAGAAAAAAAGUAAUAAACAUAAUUUUCUAUUUUAUUCAUAUUUAAUAUGCAAAUUUUAUCAAGAAACAUUACUAUUAUCAUUGAUAAAAUCUAAAAAAAAAAAAACAAAGUAUUCCAUCUAUUCAUAAAUACUUUCAAUUUUUUUAUGGUAAUUAAGUAAGUAAAUUUAUUCUUAUAAAUUAUAACAAAAUAUUAAUUAAUUUUAUUACGUAACCUUAAGUAAGAGAGGAGAUGUUAUAUGAUUUUGGAAAAUUAUAAAAAUAAUUAUUAAAUUUAAUAUAAAUAAGGAUAAAAUUGAAAAAAAAAUUAAUUACUCAUUAAUAUUCUAAAAAAAAAAAGAUAUUUGCGGAGAAAACACCGGCUCUAAAAUAAUAGUUAUUUAUAGAUAAAAAAAGUAAUUAUUAUUGCCACCUAUAUUAUUAUAAUUUCAUAACUUUGAAUAUGAAUAUUAAUAUUUAAUGCAAGGUUAUCUGUGCAAAAGAUAAACUAGGUAUAUCAUUAUGGCAUGGAAGGAACAAAAAGGAAACAAACUAAGUAUAUCAUUAUCGCUUCAUACUGGUCCACGUCAGCUAGGGAGAGGUGUUUUAGUUUUUUAAUCUUCAAUUAAUGGAAAAAAACUAACUUUUCGAACGGAAGGACCUUUCAAUUAGACGGAGUUAAACCUGAGGGACUAGUUAGAUAUUUGCGCAAAACUUGGGAUUAGUUAGAUAAUUAUGUAAAACAUAAGGGGCUAGAUAAUAAUUUUCCCCUUAUGGUCCACGUCAGCUAGGGAGGGGUGUUUUCGUCUUUUAAUCUAUAAUUAAUGGAAAAAAAUCAACUUUUCGGACGGAAAGACCUUUUAAUUAGACGGAGUUAAACCUGAGGGACUAGUUAGAUAUUUGCGCAAAACUUGGGAUUAGUUGGAUAAUUAUGUAAAAACGGAGGGACUAAAUAAUAAUUUUCUCUCUAUUUUAUAAAGGGUAUUGUUGUAUCUUUGGAAUAUAAAAAUUGAGUUAUAUAUUUUUUGGUCUAAAAUACUUCCAAUCAUUUUUAUUUUUAUUAUUCUUUUAGUAAAAAAUUAUCAAUGGAGAUUUUGUAAAAAGAAUAAUAUACAAUAAAUAGAACAACUCGUGCAAUGUAUAGGCUUUCAUCUAGUAACAUAAUAAUUCCAAAGUUAUGCCAGUAAAAUUAAAUGACUCUCAAUUAUUAGAGUUAAAUGAGUUUCCAUCAUAAAUAUAUUUUCAAUUCUUAAUUUGUAUUCAGAUUUUUCUUCUGCUUUGGUUUAUUGUAAUAGGUAAGUAAUUUUGUCAUAGCUUGAUAUAUUUAAAUUUUAAAAGUUUUGCACUUUUAAUCUUUUAUUUCAAGUUUAUAUAUCUUUCAUUUUUUAAUGAAUAAUAUUAUUUAUCUAAAAAAAUAAUAAUGUAUAAUAAGGUAAUAAAGUGACCGUGCAACAACGGGGUUCACCUAGUUUAUUAUAAAGGUUAAUAGUUUUUUUUACUUUAUGGCUCGAGUCGUUUCUUUUUUUUUUAAGUUACAGGUAUACAAAUUUUUUUACAUUUAUUAUAUACUAAAACGGAAACCGACGGUAACAGUAAAUUUGACUUCUUUUGACAAUUUAGCCUUAUAUAUAUUAUAAGCCAAAUGCCACUUGCGAAGUUUCUACAUUGCUUUGUAAAGAUUUGGAUUUGUCGAUCUGCAUUGCAUUUGUUUAUUAACCAUUUUUGGCUUGUAUAUUGACAAAGGACAUUUGAACGAUUUGAGGUCUAGCUAUUUUUUUCUAUUUUCUAUUUUUAUUUUUAAUUUCUUUCCUAAGUAUUUAAAAUAUACUUAUUAGUUAAAAAAAUUAAAAAUCCAAAUAAUCCUUUUAAAAAAUAAUAAAAAUUAAUUAAAUAGUAUCAAAUAAAUUCAAAAUAUAAUAUAAACAAAUAGUUAUAAAUUUAAACUAUUGAUUAUAUAUUUAUAGCCUUUGUCAAUUUAAAUUAAAAUACCUUUUGAAGAAUAUGAAAGUUAUUCUAUAAGUAUUUAAUUAUGUACUUUCUCAUAAUUUUAUUAAUAAAUUAAUUAUGAAUCUCAAAUUUUUCCUCCACAAUAAUGAAAUAUUUAACCUGGGUUAAUUUAGUCUUUUCCAUAUUAGAAGUUGGGGUAUUUUCAUUUUUUUUAAUGGAGUUAACGGCAAAAAUAAAAGAAAUUGGAUGUAAGGACCAACUAGUCUAACGGAGGUAAUUCUCAGAAACUACUAAUUAAUAUUACCAAAAUGCAAUGAUGAGUUAGUCAAUUUGGUCAAAUGUCAGGACUAAAUAAUAGUUUUCUCUAAAUAAAAUAAUUUUUUAAGAAAAAAAAAAUAAAAGCAAUGCGGACUGCUAAGAAAGAAUAAACGAAUGCUGAGGUCCAGCCCAGAGGACAAAAGGAAAAUAUAUCAGGGCUUUGAAGGACAGACUCUAAUUGGGCUUAUCUUUAGGUCAAGCCCAUGGCUUCAAAUACCAAACCACCGUGCUCUUUAAAUUGUUUUCUACUGCUUUUUUUAGUCUCUCUCAAAACCCUAACUCUCUUCAUUCUGCUUGGAGGCGCCUCUCUUUCUCUGCUUUCUGCAUCCGGUAACUACUCGUGUUAUUCCUUAUCUUAUAUAUGUCUCUGUUGUUUGUAUAUUUGUUUAAUCAAUCGUUAAAAUCUUUUGUUUAUGUUUUUUUUUUUUUUUUCAAAUUUCUCAAUGGAUUAUUCUUUAUGUGCUACGAGAUGUUGACGACUACCAAUAGUAUCGUAGGAAAACUUUUAGCGAUUGUAUAUGUGUUUUAUCUUAUUCUUCUUGGCGAAUCAUUGUUGUUACAGUUGCAAUUAUGAGCUUCUAGGGAUCACUCUGUUUUUGAAAUUGACAGUCAUUGUUGUUACAUUGUAUAUGUGUUACUGAAAAUUUUAAAAUCUGCUCUACUUUUAGAACCACCAAUAAUUUUAUGUAAUCGUUUAUGUAACUUUUAAUUUUAUUGUAUAAAAAAUAUUAGAUAUUAGAUUAUUAACAAUGACUUUACUGCUUUUAGUGAUCUACGAACAUUUUUUUUUCUAAUAUAAUUAGAUGUUAGUUUUAUUAAAAGAAAAAAAAAAAAGAACUCUUGUAUUUGCCUCAAUAUGCAAUUUAAUCUAAUCUUCAUAAUAAUUAUUGUUUAUUAUCAUUACUGCAUAAACAAUUCACCGAAUGAUUAUUCAAAUUAAUAGAACAUAAAAUUCAGGAAUUUUGUAAAAUUUAACAAUAAUUUUAUUUUUGUUAUUUUUUAAUAUGAGAACAGAGUCUAUUCCGAUAGCACAUAGAUUAGAAUUUUACAAAUUUUACAAAUUGUGAUUUAUUUUUCUCAAUUGCAUAAACAUAUUUAAUUAAAAAAAUUAGAUUUCCCCAAUUAAAUUCCAUCAAUCAGAAUUUUCCCUUUGUAUUUGAGGAAUUAAAUUAACGUGGAGCAAAAGAGAAGUAGAAAAGCUAAAAUAAAAUAAAAUUAACGCAACCAAAAAAAAAAAAAAAUCUACUAGUUAUUAUUGAAUAAGUCGGUUUGAGAAAAUAAGGAAAAAAUAUAGAAAAAAUCAAGCGGCCGAGUUUGCCCUAGAAAACCUAUUCUCUCUCUACCUCGUCGCUCAAUAUAAAAGCGUUGCUCUCCCCUUAAUNNNNNNNNNNNNNNNNNNNNNNNNNNNNNNNNNNNNNNNNNNNNNNNNNNNNNNNNNNNNNNNNNNNNNNNNNNNNNNNNNNNNNNNNNNNNNNNNNNNNNNNNNNNNNNNNNNNNNNNNNNNNNNNNNNNNNNNNNNNNNNNNNNNNNNNNNNNNNNNNNNNNNNNNNNNNNNNNNNNNNNNNNNNNNNNNNNNNNNNNNNNNNNNNNNNNNNNNNNNNNNNNNNNNNNNNNNNNNNNNNNNNNNNNNNNNNNNNNNNNNNUCUCAUAAGUAUUUUGGCUAGUAAUAUCUUGCUGUUAUGAAAUGAAAAUAUUUUGUUUUAACUAUUGAUCUAAAUUCUUUCAUUAUAUAUAUAUAUAUAUAUAUAUAUAUACACACACACACACACACACACACACACACACACACACACACACACACACACACACACACACACACACACACACACACACACACACACACACACACACACACACACACACACACACACACACACACACACACACACACACACACACACACACACACACACACACACACACACACACACACACACACACACACACACACACACACACACACAUAAAGUUCUCUGCAAUUUUUGACAUUUCCUCUAAUAUGUGGAGCAGCAACCAUGGUGAGAGUUAGUGUUUUGAAUGAUGCUUUGAAGAGCAUGUACAAUGCUGAAAAGCGUGGGAAGCGACAGGUUAUGAUCAGGCCUUCCUCAAAAGUGAUCAUCAAAUUUCUGCUGGUGAUGCAAAAGCAUGGUAUCUUUUCAUUUUCACCCUAUUCAUCUCUCUUUUAUGGAAAAUUUGGAAAUUUGUGCUGGUUUAUGAUUGUUAUCUCUUUGGUUCUGUUAUGAAGGAUACAUUGGCGAGUUUGAGUAUGUUGAUGAUCAUAGAGCUGGUAAAAUUGUGGUUGAAUUGAAUGGGAGGUUGAACAAGUGUGGAGUUAUCAGCCCUCGUUUUGAUAUCGGUGUCAAGGAGAUUGAAGGAUGGACUGCACGACUGCUUCCAUCAAGACAGGUAAACAAACGAAAAUAUCUAAGUUCAGUUUUAUUUUUUCGUUACUGUUAAUAUUGAGUUGACAUGAGCAUGCAAAUAAGAGUUACUCUAUUAGGAUCGAGUUAAUUAUGCUGUAACAAACAAGUAAAACAUUAUGCUUCAGUUAAGUUUGUAUCAUUUCUAUUUACAUUUUGGUAUUUAAGAACUUAAUCAUAUAUGAAAUGACAUGCAUGAUUGGUUGAUGCUGCACAAUUAUGUGGAUUCUUUGAUGUGAUACAUAUGGAUUUCUGUCUUGACACCUAACAUCGAUUUAAAAUUGCAGUUUGGUUAUAUUGUGUUGACAACCUCUGCUGGCAUUAUGGAUCAUGAAGAGGCUAGAAGAAAGAAUGUUGGUGGCAAAGUGCUUGGGUUCUUUUACUAGGCUAAGUUUUUGUUUUUUCGAUUUAGAGAAAAAUUAUUCUGCUUCGAAGAGUUUUGGUUGUGCCUUUGAACUUGUUUGCCUUAGGAUUAGCCCUGUGCUUUAUCUGAUUUAUGCUUUCUACAAAAGCUAAUGUUGGUUUUUUUACUUGUAUGAAUUGAAGACCUGCAUUUCUUUUUCUGGUAGCUCACAUCUUAUUAACUGUUAUAGUUAUGAUGUCCAUGCCAUAUUUAUCUUAUUGUUGCAUCUUUAUUACCUGUAAUUUAAAGGUUAUGACGUUGUGAAUGCAGUUUGCUGAAAACAGGUCGAAUAGAAUGUCAAAUAGGCAGCAUGUAUAUUGGAGAACAAUUUACCCCUUUUCUGUUGAAUGGAGAGAAAGCUGGUAUCAAUGUACUAAUAAACAACCCAAUGAGCAUUGAUCUAGUAUGUUUAAAACAACAGCUAAUGAUAAUCGCAAGAAUGUAAAAUCUAAUUAUCCACCCUAUAACCAAUUAAAUCUAUAACUGAACAAACGACUGAUCAGAAUUUUUAUUUCAAGCUACGUGGAUGUCUAAUAUGUGGAUUUCUAAUUUGAAACAUGGGGGUAUAUGAUUGUGUUUGUUUUUAGGCUAGUUGUUUUGUCGCUUUUUGUCUUUUUAGCUAGGUAGGACUUUGUCCGUGGUGGAGUCCAAGUUUCAAUAUGUUAUAGGGGCUGAAAAAAAAAAUUCCAAAAUUAGGACAGAAAAAAAAAAAAAAAAAAGAAAUGAAAGAAGAAGAAACAGAGAAAACCCUCCAAGAAAAUUCUUAAUUAUGAUUCUUGCUAGGAAGCUUAGAGCUGGAAAAACAACUAAAACCAAGAUUUACCAACUGCCAACUAUUUUAACUGAUUUCAUAUGAAUAAGGAAUGAUCUCAUCAUGUCCCUCAAACAACAAAUAAAAAGGAAAACACAAAUAUUAGUAAAAUAAAAGUAAAACCCACAUAUAUAUUCCCCAUCAUAAUAACAUGUUGCCAAAGGAUCAUAGUUGCCCUAAUGGUUUAAAAACCAUCAUGACCUUAAUUACUCUCCACAUCCCUCUUCAUCCUCAUCUUCCCUGCUUCAAUUGUCUCCUUGGCUCCCUGGCAACGGCGGCAGCCACCUCCGACCACCCAUACCAAUACAUAGGAUAGAAGAAAAUGAGAAUAUAUUGGGGGGAUGUUUAUGUUGUAGGGAGGAUCCAAUCUCUUGAUCCCUCCAAAGGAGUGGAGGGUGAAAACUUGUGAUAUGUGGGUUUUGUUUUGUAGGAAUAAAAAUGAUGAAGAGAGGAUCUUCUAAAGCAUAUACUUCAAAGCACAAAUUUUAUUUGUUUCCCUUUCUUUGCUUUUUCUCACUUUUUGCUUUGCUUUUAAUAAUUAUAUAAGAAGACAUUAACACAAUUAUGGAAUCUACCUAAAAUAUUCUGGUUUUAGUGGUUUUUG
rnacentral:lncRNA from 1 species